rnacentral:rRNA from 1 species
GACGAACGCUGGCGGCGUGCUUAACACAUGCAAGUCGAACGGAAAGGCCCUGCUUGCAGGGUACUCGAGUGGCGAACGGGUGAGUAACACUUGGGUGAUCUGCCCUGCACUUCGGGAUAAGCCUGGGAAACUGGGUCUAAUACCGGAUAGGAGCCAUUUUUAGUGUGAUGGUUGGAAAGUUUUUUCGGUGUAGGAUGAGCUCGCGGCCUAUCAGCUUGUUGGUGGGGUAAUGGCCUACCAAGGCGGCGACGGGUAGCCGGCCUGAGAGGGUGGACGGCCACAUUGGGACUGAGAUACGGCCCAGACUCCUACGGGAGGCAGCAGUGGGGAAUAUUGCACAAUGGGCGCAAGCCUGAUGCAGCGACGCCGCGUGGGGGAUGACGGCCUUCGGGUUGUAAAAUCCUUUCGCUAGGGACGAAGCUUUUUGUGACGGUACCUAGAUAAGAAGCACCGGCUAACUACGUG